CGUAGGGUGCGAGCGUUAAUCGGAAUUACUGGGCGUAAAGCGUGCGCAGGCGGUUUUGUAAGCCAGAUGUGAAAUCCCCGGGCUCAACCUGGGAAUGGCAUUUGGGACUGCAAGGCUGGAGUGCGGCAGAGGAGACUGGAAUUCCUGGUGUAGCAGUGAAAUGCGUAGAUAUCAGGAGGAAUACCGAUGGCGAAGGUAGGUCUCUGGGCUGACACUGACGCUCAUGCACGAAAGCGUGGGGAGCAAACAGGAUUAGAUACCCUGGUAGUCCACGCCCUAAACGAUGUCGACUGGUUGUUGGGGGUUUGACACUCUCAGUAACGAAGCUAACGCGUGAAGUCGACCGCCUGGGGAGUACGGCCGCAAGGCUA
rnacentral:rRNA from 1 species